rnacentral:misc_RNA from 1 species
AAGAAUCAAAUAAAAAAUAAACAGAAUGUAAAAAAUUAAAAUAUUUAAAUUGAUUUUUAAAUUUUAAAUAGAAUUAUUUUAAUUUUAAAAGUUAUAAUUAAAUUAUUUAAAAAUAAAAGAGUAAACAUUUAGAUUUAUUCAUCCAAUAAACCUAAAAAAAUUACUAGUGACUGACUAAAGUAUUAUUGUAAUAACCUAAAGAUUGUCUUGAUUGUUUUUCAUUGAACACUAUAUUAAUAAAUGUACCAUAGAGAUUUCGACUUGAAGAUUUGAAUAUAUAUGUAAAAAAUUUUGAAAAACUACUACUAACAAACUGGGCAUGAAUUCCAACUCCUAAAUUCCAAUCUUGAACAAAAAUAGUGGCACCUCAUCAAGCAGAAUAGUGCCUGAGCUCACUCGUUACCGAGUUGACUCAGUCCAAUACCGAGUCAACUCUUCCGAAUCAUUGCCGACAAAAAUAAAUAUAUAAAAUAGAACCAGUCUCCUUGUGUGUGGGUUGUAGAACGGUUAUCCGUCGAACCCUGUUUGGCUCCACACUGCA